UGGGGAAUAUUGGACAAUGGGCGAAAGCCUGAUCCAGCCAUGCCGCGUGUGUGAAGAAGGUCUUCGGAUUGUAAAGCACUUUAAGUUGGGAGGAAGGGCGGUAAGUUAAUACCUUGCUGUUUUGACGUUACCGACAGAAUAAGCACCGGCUAACUCUGUGCCAGCAGCCGCGGUAAUACAGAGGGUGCAAGCGUUAAUCGGAAUUACUGGGCGUAAAGCGCGCGUAGGUGGUUUGUUAAGUUGGAUGUGAAAGCCCCGGGCUAAACCUGGGAACUGCAUCCAAAACUGGCAAGCUGGAGGACGGAGGAGGGUGGUGGAAUUUCCUGUGUAGCGGUGAAUGCGUAGAUAUAGGGAGGAACACCAGUGGCGAAGGCGACCACCUGGACUGAUACUGACACUGAGGUGCGAAAGCGUGGGGAGCAAACA
rnacentral:rRNA from 1 species